CAACUCAAUUUCUCAAAACUUUUAAUCCUUAUCUAUUCUUAUGGAAUCCGUACUCAAAAUAAGCAAUUUAAGUGAGGUUAAGCCGUACAAAUCUUCAUGGAGCGUUUCAGUGAAAGUUAUUCAUACAUGGAUUCCAUUCGGUUUGGUGCAUCUCUUAAAAUGAUUUUAGCCGAAAAAAUGGUGUAAAAAUUCAUGUCAUUUGCAAACAAUAUCUUAUGCAACAAUUCGAGAAGCAGAUUGGUGUUUGGGAAUGGAAAGUUAUUAGCAACUUUUCAUUACGUGCAGCUUGUGGUACCAGUUGACCCACCAACCAUGUGUUCAGAAUUGAGUUCAUGAACCACACCUUGGUAACAACCACACUUUGGUAACAAACUGUAAUUUCACGUGCUGCGAUGACAUGUUCCUAAAUCUCCAUGCUUUUGCCAUCAUUAUAGAUGGUUCAUGAGACGAUCGUUUUCUUAUUGAUGUGGUUGGAGUGAUCUUUGACUUUGGAGGUCACGAUAUUGGUCAAGCUGGAAGGAAAGAAAUUGCCAAGCUGGUCAGCCCAUAUAAGGCUCCAAAUGGGGAAAACGUAUCAGGCGUUGCGGAUCUAGCGUAUCGAACUGAUCGAGCAGAACAAGAGUGGAUCAGGCGGAUCGAGCGGUACAAGAGUGGAUCAGGCGGAUCGAGCGGUCCAAAACAUAUAUUUGAAUGGUGAAUAUGGAUAAAGUGUGGUUCAAAGUACUGUACUAAUUUAAAUUAAUCU